CCUGGUCAAGAAUAUUAUUUUUUUAACCAGAAGUUAAUCAAGAAAUAAAUAUAAAUUAAAAAAUUUCCCUGACAAGUUAUGCAGCCAAUAAAUCUGACAACCAGUCCAACUCCUGGCCUUUACAUCAAGUUCAAGUCAGUGGAUGAAUACUGAAGAGGAGUUCAAUGUGAGUAACUAGCACCUUAACCAGAAAAGUUUAGGAAGAGGAGUGAGUUAGUCAUGGUUGAUCACCCCCCUAAUUAAAGACACAUUUUAAUCCAUAACUCAGCUCAUUUUCAGCUAUACCCAAAUUUAGGUAAGGAUUUAGCAUUCAACCAUGAGGACAAAUCAGAAACCUGUAGCUAUAAGUCUAUUUGUAGCACAUUGAACGACACACUUGCAGGUUCUGUGAUGAUACGAAACACUAUCAGUCUCUGCAAUUUCUUUACACCUAUCAAGUGCACAGAGAGGAGGGAAAUGCUAUGUAGAUAAUCUGGCCAUAGAUAAUGCCAAGGCUCUGGGCUCAUUCUGUGAGAUAAGCCUUAGUCAGUCUACCAAAGAAAGAAGAUUUUGAGAAUGUAAAAUGUAAAAACCAGAGCACCUCAAAAGUGGAGAGGUUGCUAAUACAACUUUAUUACAAUACCUCUAUUCAAGUCAAAACUUCUUCUAGCACAGAACGUAGACACUGGUCUCAAAAACAGCUAUAUACAGAUUUUUCUAGAAAUUUAACAGUUGAUGUAUAUCGCUGAGAAAAGAUUUACUUGCUCGUUGGCAACACAGGGAAAACUCUAGUUUGACCAAUAUAAUUUUUCAUAUAAAAGGAAAGAAAAUUAAAAUUUGGCUAGAAAUUUAGAAAUAGAUCUAGGUUCAACAUAGGUUUUAAAAGGACUAACACAUUCUUGAAAGGACUAUCACUUUCAGGACUUUCUGAAUGCAAGGCAUUGUUGGAAUAUUAUAAGAUGUACUAAAUCUAUACAUUCACUUAAUCAGGAUUGUUUCUGAGGGAGAAGGGGCAGGCAGGAUAAAAGAAUGUUCUAUUCUUUGUACUCUAAUAUUUAUUAGUUUGUAAGAGAUUUACAUACAUUCUUUAAGUUAUUAUUAUUGUCUUUUAAUGUUUUUCUGGUUUUAAGCUAAUUGAAUACAAAUCAAUGUAAGAGAUAGGUUAGGCAUUUUAUAUGUAAUAAUAAUAAUAAUAAUAAUCUUUAUUGUCCGUAUGGAAAUUUGUCUUACAAUUUGUGCAUUACACCAAACAAAAAACAUUCUAACUAUAAGAAACCAAAGUGUACAUUCACACCAGACUCACUCAUAAUCUACAUGUGACAAAGUUUAUAUCAGAUUGUUCUUAUUUAAUGAUUUGAUUGCCAGAGGAACAAAAGAGUGUUUGUGUCUGUCUUUGCUAUCUGUGUCUUAGCAUAGUAUUAGUUUUAAUUAUCUGUCUUUGUAACAGUAACAUCAUGGGGGAGGCCAAAAAAAACAACAACCUAAAUGUGUGAUAAACUUUGCAGUAGUUUCAUGAGUGUCUUUCUAAUGAUUCAUAAUAUUGAGACCAAUAUUUUUAAUUAAGCUCUGGCAUACCAUCUUGUUUAACCAUCUGCUGUAAUCGAAAAUCUCAAUGUAUCCUUAGGUUUAAUUCAGGAUACGCUAUGAAAUGGGUUUAGAAAUCGCACUUCCAAUGAAUCAGUGACGUCAAACUAAGGCUUGCUAUUUAAUUCUUGUUUGUUUAUUUUACAUGUUUUGGAUGUUCUUUCAGUAAUGAAGAUUAUCACACCCAAGCCCCAACCUCCUGCAGGUAGGUGGAGGAUGGUAGCAGAGAGUGUUUGAACCUGGGAUCAUCAAGAUGGUAGUCCAGAGUGCAUUCUACAUGAACAAGAAGCAUGCCAGAUCUGCUCACAGAGCCAUGUUAUGUAUACUGAGAAUCAAAUCAUUCUAAGGCAGCUAGUGCUACACUCUGGCAGACCCUGAAAUGCAGUGAGCUAUCAAAAAUUCGUUUGGAACCAAAAGCUGCUUGGAGAGGGAGGGAACUGCUGUGUGGGUGACAACUUUCUGACUAUGACCAAUUACCAGGCUCUUAUCUUGUUCCAAGUCCCUAUAGAAGAUAGCUUUGUAAUAAACUCAAGGUUUCAAGGGACAUUGGAGAUGGUAUUUGACCAGGACAACAGGGUUGGCAGCAGGCAGGGUAUGAACCUGGGACCAUCGACAAGUCCAAACAACAGUCCAGCAUGCAUACCGACAACCAGGAUGUCGGAGGAUGGCAGCAUAUAAACCCAGGACCAUCAAGACUCAAAACAACUGAAUGACAGUCCAACAACACACAUACUGCAUGAUCAGGCAGUCAAGUUGACAUGUUGAUAACCAAAUUUCACAAACCAAAAUGUCACUAGGAAAUGAGUCUUAUUUCAUCAUUAUUGUCCAAAAAGUAGUACUUUGCUUUUAGCAUUUGAGUCCCUGAAAAUAAAAUUUGUCAGUCAUUGUUCUGGCUCUUUACAGUUGACCAUAGAUGCAGGUGAGUUAAAAGGAAAAUUUUACUUUGUGGCCACUUUCAAAAUGUUCACUGAGUUAAUGUUUUUAACUGAAGCACUAAGAGGAAAUAAGGAGAACAGAUAAUGAAUGAUUACCUUGUUUCCUCUUUAACAAUUUACUGCUUGUUUUUUUUCUUAUAAUUUUUUAUAUAUUACGGGUGAAUAAAUGAACAGGCAAUUAUAAACAUCAAAAUUUAUUAUCAAUAUAUCAUACAUUCUUCACUUUUUAAACUCUAUAGCUCAAAAUGAGUUACGGUCAAUGAAAUAAUUUUGUAGAGAAAGGUUACAAACAUACAGUUCAUUAAAAGCACAAUUUCAAUGAGAAAAGAAUGACAAGAUAUAAUAUCAAAUCAAAGACUGGUGUACCUGUU